rnacentral:rRNA from 1 species
UACGUAGGGAGCAAGCGUUGUUCGGAUUUACUGGGCGUAAAGGGCGCGUAGGCGGCGCGGUAAGUCACUUGUGAAAUCUCUGAGCUUAACUCAGAACGGCCAAGUGAUACUGCAGUGCUAGAGUGCAGAAAGGGCAAUCGGAAUUCCCGGUGUAGUGGUGAAAUGCGUAGAUAUCGGGAGGAACACCAGUGGCGAAGGCGACUACCUGGCCUGUUCUUGACGCUGAGGCGCGAAAGCUAGGGGAGCAAACGGG